GGCGCGACUGCGUCGGGAGAGGACGCAGAGGACGCCGCGCGGGGGCUGCGGCAGGAGCUCGACUCCGAGCAGGCCUCCCCGGAGAUGGCAGCCAGAUCCGGCUAUUGAGCCCCCUAACCGAGCGGAUCCAAGAUAGUUUUUUUUGUCUCCAGUUGCUCUACACAGCAAGUCUAUGAGGAAGGAGCAAAAGAAGUUGCUCUUUCAGUUGUCAGCGGAAUUAAUUUAACUCAAGCAUACUUGCCUAUGGCAAACAAGCAGUGGACUUACACAAUGAUCGAAAUGACAGACUGUUCGUGCUAUCGGUUUGGAAAGAACAUGUGGAAAGCUAAUCUCGGAUCUUGCUUCCUUCAGACCCAAAGGACCUUGAACAGCAAAAUCUAAGACACACAAGAGUCCAGCAUGCGCCAACGCUCCUGCAGAUUGCUCAAAGAAAAGCAAGACAGCUCGCCAAUCCUAGAAGUGGAAAAAAACAACAUAGAAUAAUUAGCCAGCUACAGGGAGUAAACCAUUAAGAGAAGAAACAUCGUAAUGCCAUGUUUCCAAAUGGGCACAAAGAAACUUCAAGCACCUCUAGACGGAAGCUGUCUGCACUGAAGAUCAGGACACGAAUAUCGCGAGCUUUAUCAAGGCUCGCCUUGUGCGGAAGGUGUAUUUCUGUGAGAUCUCCAAGAUGAAGCAUUAGGGGGUCAAUCGCCCCAGAUUUUACAUGUAGCUAACUUAGUAGGGCACCCAUAAUCCAUAAUUUAUUCUCUGUAGUUGUAGCAGCGACCUAGAGGUGUUAUUCUGUAGCACAUUGUGUAACAUGUAGGAGAGAGAUAAACACAUAUCCCCAUUCUUUCUACUGAAACACCAGAAAUAGUUGCUCUUGCUCCAUAAUUCAUUAAUGUGAACUUCUGAAGCCAUG
rnacentral:lncRNA from 7 species